ACAUGUCUUUUAGAAUUUAAUUUAAAGUCUAACCUGCCCACUGAAUUUUUUUAAAUGGCCGCAGUAUUCUAACUGUGCAAAGGUAGCAUAAUCAUUAGUCUUUUAAUUGGAGGCUGGAAUGAAUGGUUGGAUGAGAUAUUAACUGUUUCAUAAAAAUUUAUAAUAGAAUUUUAUUUUUUAGUCAAAAAGCUAAAAUAAAAUUAAAAGACGAGAAGACCCUAUAAAUCUUUAUAUUUCAGGGAUUAUAAUUAUAUAGAUAAAUUUAAUUUUAAUUUUUAAAAAUAUUUUAUUGGGGUGAUAUUAAAAUUUAAUAAACUUUUAAUUUAUAAUAUACAUAAAUUAAUGAAUUUUUGAUCCAUUUAUUAUGAUUAAAAAAUUAAGUUACUUUAGGGAUAACAGCGUAAUUUUUUUAGAGAGUUCAUAUUGAUAAAAAAGAUUGCGACCUCGAUGUUGGAUUAAGAUACAGUUUUAGGUGCAGCAGCUUAAACUUAAAGUCUGUUCGACUUUUAAAUUCUUACA
rnacentral:rRNA from 1 species